GGAUUCCACAAAUAAUAAGCCUCUUUCCAAGCAUAUGUAUUCUAGGCAGCACCUGCUUCAAAAAGCCCCCUGAAUCCUCCAGAACAGUUUGCUCAUCAUGGCAUGACUAAGAUUAACACUGAGAAUCAUUGCUUAUGCCUGGAGCCAGUCUUUUGUCCUGUUUGCUGCACAUCUCUGGAGUACCCUAUGCUGACAACACUGCCUCCGAGCCUUCUUCUCACCUUGGUGUCUCUACCUUUUCAAAGCCAAAUACCUGCCUCUUCUCUUCAGUAUCCUCCUGGAAUUUCAGGAACAUUGAUGAAUAAGGAAGUUAUUUCCAGCAUGAGUUUCUUGAAGAGAGAAGCUGCGCCUUGUUUAUGUUCAUCUCCCCAGUGGCCAAUAUAGUUCCAGGCAUCCAUCCAGUGUUUUCUGAAUGAACAAACCAG